UCUCCGUUGGUGAACCAGCGGAGGGAUCAUUACCGAGUUUACAACUCCCAAACCCCUGUGAACAUACCAUUUGUUGCCUCGGCGGUGCCUGCUUCGGCAGCCCGCCAGAGGACCCAAACCCUUGAUUUUAUACAGUAUCUUCUGAGUAAAUGAUUAAAUAAAUCAAAGCUUUCAACAACGGAUCUCUUGGUUCUG
rnacentral:misc_RNA from 1 species